rnacentral:piRNA from 1 species
UUCACACACUUUGUGCUAAGGUCCUGGA